UCAGGAACAGGAAUCUACCAUACCUUCCCUCUCCUCUUCUGGGACUCUUUUGUCCCUGGCUUCUGGACGCUGGGAGGCUAGGCCUUUCUAAGCCAGCCAAUCUCUGCCAAGCUUGGAUGCCUCCUCCUUGCCUGGGAAAGUGGCCAAGAUGGGGGUAGAAUCAGCCUGGUGCAGAGAGGAAUCAUCAUAAGCUGCCAAAACAUGGACACCUGAAUCUUAGGACUACUGUGGGACAAAGUUGAUGCUGCGUUAUCUAUUUCCAGUACCCUUGCUCCUCCAUGGAUAUGGUACACUAAGAAAAAGGUGAACUUGGAAAUCCACAAGCUGGGAGAUCAGAAUCUAGCCAGCUCGGUGCCUGAUCAUUUCCUGAGCUCCUGUCCAAUGGGCUGUGAGGAUGACAGGCACCGUUUUUCAGUACAAUAUGAGAAGGCUAUGGGACUGAAGAGUCUGCCCACCAGCUACUCAGCCUGGAGGCGUUCAAGUCCUGCCUUCCCAGCAGAAACAAGACUUUCCAGAGCAGGAACAGAGAAUGAACCCCAAUUGGGGUUUCCAGGUCCAAAACCAGGCAUCAAGAAUACAGUUAAGACUGGGAUGGUUAGAGCUGGGAAGUGCACAGUCAUGUGUGGGUGAGAGAGACCUUGAACAGAUGGGAUCCAGGGGAAGGUUUUGAACUGCUGAAGAUCCAGCUUCAUGGACUGAGCAAGUACAAGGCUCUCAACUUCACCAUAUAGACAUCUUAACCUCUCUAUCAUACAGACUCUGCCAGAACUGUGCAACCUCAAGUUUUCCUACAAUGCGCUCCUCAGCAGUCUGGGCCAGAGUCCUGGAUGUCACAGGGGGAGACACAAGUGAUGGCAUCCAGAGAAGAAAAGAUGUUCAUUUAAUAGAAGAGCUAACUGCUGCUCAGGAGGACAAGCCCCUAGGCCAGAUCACAUGAUUCCCCUUGAACCACCCAGGAAUCUGUCCAGACUUACUCUGUGAUUGGUCCCAUAGAGCAAGUGCUCAAAGAGUCAUAUUCCUAGCAGAACUACUAUGACGGGAAGGGGACGAGGUGUGUGUGUGUGUGUGUGUGUGUGUGUGUGUGUGUGUGUGUGUGUGUGAGGGCUCCUCACCUCCCUCUACCUGCCUCAUUGCCACCUCAGUUCAGUUAGCAAGAGCAUCAGGAGUCUGUCUCUAGAGCCCUCAGAAGGGUGGUAUGUGACCUUCCCAGAAUUCCCACUGCAGUCCUGGACACACACAUUGAGCCCAUGAAGACGGCUCCCUUUGUGCCUGCUGUUCUCAAACUGUCCUAUAGAGGGAGCAUUCUCCAAGGCCAGGAGACAAACAGGACCCACACUAGCCAGGUAGAAGCAGGCAUCUGUAGCAGUUUCAGGUCCCCACAGACCCCCCACCCCCCAACUCUUCAUGAACAUUGUGAUGCUAGGCAGAGUCUUCAAAGCCUAUCAGAGCAGGGAACGAAACAAUGUAGCAAAUAGACUACUCUAUGAAACCAUUGGCUGCAUCAUAAAGCAAAGAAUGGAGCAUUUCCUGAUGAAAUGAAUCACUUUUUAAAACUGAUGGGCACCAUAAAAAUGUACUCAGUUGUACAAAUAUGUGCAAGACAUCUAUGAUGAAAACCUCAAGGCACUGAUGAGAGGAAUUCAAGGCGAUCCAAAUAAAUGGAGAGACAUACAACGUUCAUAGAUAGGAUAACUUAAUAAUGUUAAAAUGCUGAUUCUGUUCAAAUUGACCUAUUGAUUUAAAGAAGUCUUUAACAAAAUCGUAGCAGCACUCUUUGUAGAAGUAGACACACUGACUUUGAAAUUAAUUAAUUUUGAGACAGGGUCUCACCAUGUAGGUCAAAGUGUCCUGGAACUCCCUAGAUCCACCUGCCUCUGCCUCCUGAGUGCUAGGAUCAAAGGUACAUGCCUCUGAAUUGAAUUGAAUUCAGGACCUCUGGUAGAGCAGUUUUAAAAAGUGAUGUUCAGGUAAUUACGAAAUUUAUGUGAAAACCCAAAGGGCACAGAAUUGCCAAAAUUUAUUUGAAAAUAAAAAUAUAAUUGAAGAAUCCCAUUACUCCCUUCAAAACAUGCUAUAUAGUUAUGAGAAUCACUGGGCUGGAGAGACAGCUCAGAAGUUAAGAGCACUUGCUGCUAUGGCAGAGGAUCAGGGUUGUUGUAUAUUUUGUUUGUGUUCUGACAAAUAAAGCUUGCCUGGAGAUCAGAGGGUGGA